rnacentral:rRNA from 1 species
UACGUAGGGCGCAAGCGUUAUCCGGAAUUAUCGGGCGUAAAGAGCUCGUAGGCGGUUUGUCGCGUCUGCCGUGAAAGUCCGGGGCUCAACUCCGGAUCUGCGGUGGGUACGGGCAGACUAGAGUGAUGUAGGGGAGACUGGAAUUCCUGGUGUAGCGGUGAAAUGCGCAGAUAUCAGGAGGAACACCGAUGGCGAAGGCAGGGUCUCUGGGCAUUAACUGACGCUGAGGAGCGAAAGCAUGGGGAGCGAACAGG